UCCCUGGUGGUCCAGUGGUAAGACUCUGCACUCCUAAUGCAGGGCAUUGGGGCUGGGUUUGAUCCCUUGUCAGAGAA
rnacentral:tRNA from 1 species